GUAGGGAUAAAAUUUCUUUCUAGUCAUUGUGGACAUUAGAGGAGGUACACAUGUGCCUGGCAUAUGGUAGGUCUUCAGUGUGAUUAAUGACCUUGAAAACAUCUCUAGGACGUCAUCUCUGAGUAACACUGAUCCAGCAACCUCAUUCUUAGCCCCUACCCUUUUUGGUUGUGGCAUUUCAGUUUGUGGUGUAAAUACCAUCUCUAAAGACAACAGAGCGUAGAGGGAUGGAUAUCCUGUGACCGUUCACUGUGAUGAUGCCUGGUGCUGCUCCUACAGGAUGCCACAACCGAGUUCUGAGGUAUUUAGUAUUGUAUUCCUUACCCUGCAAGGCUUGCAGAUAGCCGAAAGGAUGCCAAGUGCUGUCUUGAUGCCGUCUGUAUUGAUAAGGCAGAGAUGGUGUGUUCUGACCAGGAGACAGAUGACAGGCCAGUAGCAGUGAUGGUGAGAGCUGGAGGAAGGAAGCGGCUGACACUCCCACUGGAGAUGAACAGCACACCCUGCUGGCUCACAGUGAGACGGCCGAAAGUGUCUCCCUGCGCUUGACGCUGAGGGACUCACAGCCGGAAAGGAGAGGAGAAAGCAGGGGUUUGAGGCCAGGAAUUGGGGGUGGAUUCUGUGUGGGUCAAGAACUCCUUUCCCCAACCUUGGGCAGUAUUUCAGAUGGGACAAGCCUAACCUUUCAAAUGUUUCUAACCUUGUUACGAAAUUACUAUGAAAAUUUGGCUGGCGUGGUGGGUCACACCUGUAAUCCCAGCACUUUGGGAGGCCGAGGUGGGUGGAUCACCUGAGAUCAAGAAUUCAGGUCCAGCUUGGCCAACGUGGUGAAACCGUGUCUCUACUAAAAGUACAAAAAUUACCUGGGCAUGGUGGCGGGUGCCUGUAAUCCCAGCUACUGGGGAGGCUGAGGCAGGAGAAUCACUUGAACCCGGGAGGUGGAGGUUGUAGUGAGCUGAGAUCGUGCCACUGCACUCCAGCCUGGGUUAUGGAGUGGGACUCACUGUCAAAAAAAAAAAAAAAAAAAAAAAAUUCCUGGCCAGGCACGGUGGCUUAUGCCUGUAAUCCCAGCACUUUGGGAGGCCAAUGAGGGGUGGAUCACCUGAGGUCAAGAGUUUGACAGCAGCCUGGCCAACAUGAUGAAACCCCAUCUCUACUAAAAAUACAAAAAACUGGCCAGGCGUGGUGGCUCACGCCUGUAAUCCCAGCACUUUGGGAGGCCAAGGUGGGUGGAUCACGAAGUUGUCAGGAGUUCAAGACCAGCCUGACCAACAUGGUGAAACUCCGUCUCUACUAAAAAUACAAAAAUUAGCUGGUCAUGGUGACGUGCGCCUGUAAUCCCAGCUACUCAGGAGGCUGAGGCAGGAUAAUCGCUUGAACCCAGGAGGCGGAGGUUGCAGUGAGCCGAGAUUGAGCCACUGCACUCCAGUCUGGGCAACAAGAGUGAACUUCAUCUCAAAAAAAACAGAAAAAAGAAAUUCCUAUGUAAAAAUUCAUUUAAUGACAAGAUAUUUUCAUGGGUAAUGUUCUGUAACAAACUUAUUUCUUGUGUAGAACUGAAUUAACUGACAUUCCUAAGUGAUCAUCAAGCUCCUCCAUCCUCCCUGCCCUGCCUCCCCACAAAUCUCACCCAAGCAGGAUCUUCAAAGAACUAUUUAAAGUUCUGCUAGAAAAGGCAAACCUAAUGUGAAGCAUGUAAGUUUUUGUUCUGGGAAGAGUUCAACAAUUUAUAUGCCUUUUUAGGGCAAUAAUUUAUUUUAAAGAGUGGGAGUGCAGCUGUGGCCUGUUAACAUCUGCCCUUGAUAUUUAAAAUAUUUGGCACAGUUUGUGAAUCUGUUUUUUACCUAUUCAAAAUCAUCUAACAAAUGCUAGCCUGGAAUUAAACUUUGGAGUAUAUAGGACACAACACUGUCACUGUUUAAGCUUUGUAUAUAGAAAAUAUGUGGGUGUCGAGAAGGUAUAUUUUAUUUUAUUUAUUUAUGUUGAGACUGUCUCGCUCUGCCACCCAAGCUAGAGUGCAGUGGUGCAAUCAUGGCUCACUGCAGCCUUAACCUGGGCUCAAGUGAGCCUUCCACCUUACCUCCCAAGUAACUGGGACUACAGGUGCAUGUCACCAUGCCUGGCUAAUUUUUGUAUUUUUUUGUAGAGAUGAGGUUCACUAUGUUGUCCAGGGUGGUCCCAAAUUCCUGAACUCAAGCGAUCCACCUGUCUGGGCCUCCCAAAGUGUUGGGAUUACAGGCGUGAGCCACUGCGCCCGGCCCAAUACGUUACUGUUAACCAUAGUCAUCCUACUAUGUGAUAGAAUACCAGAACUUACUCCUCCUAUCUAAUUGUCACUUUAUACCCAUCAACCAGCCUUCCUCAUCCUUUCUUCCCCCAUCCCUUUCCCAGUCUGGUAACCACUGCAUUAGACAGAUUUUGGGUUUGAUUUGUUCUAUGGGUGACUGGUAGGUCUGACACGUCUUUGACUGUGGGCAUCUUCCAGGUCCCACAGAACACCCUUUGAGAACAUUCACAUGCCGGGUUUCUGAGGCUUGAUAAAGGUCCAUGUUUUUAUGAGCCUUGGAAUUUGGACUCUGGUGAUAGUACCUUUCAGCCUCUGUUUUAUCUCUCCUGCCCCACCUUCUCUUCCCCCUCACAAUCCCUGCCCCAGAGGAAAUAAGCACUGUGAAUUGGUGAAUUUGUCAUAACUAGGACAAUGCUGGGAGUUUUUUCCCCCUAGGAGCAGGUUUCUCCCUGAUGCCUAUGGAUAGUACAGUCCUAGCCACAAAGGGGAGUUCAGCAAACAUUGCCUGCUGCUGGUGCUGAGUCCUCAUAGGAAUCAUCAUCAAGAACAGCCUCAAACCAGCCACUGUACCAGAUGGCUCUCCCCACACUUGGAACCGUAAAUAAUUUCUGGCAUUGAGCCGAAUCAGAACUGCUCUGACAUAAAAGAAAAACUGUAAUCCAUAGCCCCAGGCCCAACACCUGGGCUGUCUCAGCUGGGAACUUGUUUCAGGUCGACUUGGGUUUGAGUCGUGGCCCCAGAACUUCACAGUUGUGUAGUCAUGGAGAAGUCAGUUAACCUCAGUGAAUCUCAGCAUCCAGUGAGAAAAUCCUCAUCUCCUUUAUAGGGAUGCUGGAUGUGUGCCUAGCACAGUGCCUGGCUUGCAGACAGUGUCCCCAAACAGAACCAGCCCUGAAUAAAUUGUGUGACACACAGGCCUCAGUUCUUGAAAAGGCUUGAGAGACCAGGCAUGUGGCUUAUGCCUAUAAUCCCAGCACUUUGAGAGGCUGAGGCUGGAGGAUCACUUGAGCUCAGGAGUUUGAGACUAGCCUGGGCAGCACAUUGAGACUUUGUCUCUAAAAAAAAAAAUCAAAAAAAUUAGCGAGGCAUGGUGGCACAUGCCUGUGGUCCCAGCUACCCUGGAGGCUGAGGUGCUGAGAAUUCCAGCCUGGGUGACACAGUGAGAUCUUGACUCAAAAAAAAACAAAAACAAAAACAAAAACAAAAAAAAACGAGCCUGGGCGCAGUGGCUCAUGCCUGUAUUCCCAGCACUUUGCGAGGCCGAUGCAGGUGGAUCACCUGAGGUCAGGAAUUCAAGACUAGCCUGGACAAUGUAGUGAAAUUCUGUGUCUACUAAAAAUACAAAAAUUAGCUGGGCGUGGUGGCACACGCCUAUAAUCCCAGCUUCUCGGGAGGCUGAGGCAGGAGAAUCGCUUGAACCCGGGAAGCAGAGGUUGCAGUGAGCCGAGAUUGCACCAUUGCACUCCAGCCUGGGCGAUAAGAGCAAAAACUCCAUCUCAAAAAAAAAAAAAAAAAAAAAAAAAAAAAAAAAAAGCCGGGCGCAGUGGCUCACGCCUGUAAUCCCAGCACUGUGGGAGGCCGAGGUGGGUGCAUCACCUGAGGUGAGGAGUUCGAGACCAGCCUGACCAACAUAGUGAAACCCUGUCUCUACUAAAAAAAAAUACAAAAAUUAGCUGGGCAUGGUGGUGCCUGCCUAUAAUUCCAGCUACUCGGGAGGCUGAGGCAGGAGAAUCACUUGAACCCAGGAGACGGAGGUUGCAGUGAGCCGCGAUCGCACCAUUGCACUCCAGCCUGGGCAACAAGAGCGAAACUACAUUUCAAAAAAAAAAUAAAGUAAAAAAGGAAAAGGCCUUAGAAAUUAUUUGCCAAGGUUACACAAAGUCAGGAACAGAGUUGGGAAUAAGAAACAAAGUAUUGCUGCUGUCUUGCAGCCUUCCUCUACCCAAUCUGCCUACCUUUCCCUAGCUAGUUAGCUGGUAGCCCAGGCAGUGCUAAACAGCAGGUCUUAAAUCUGAAGAAAUAAAUUGCUAGUUGAGACUGAGCAAGAGAGCUAUUUUAGGGCAGACAAGCUUUCAGCACACCAUAAAUUCCAUCACCUGGCAACUGCCUGAUUUCUUGGGCAAGGCAGCUUUCUGCCAUCUGCAUGUGUGGGCAUCCAAACACGUGUUUGAGGUAUGUGGCCUCUUGGGGCCUUCUCCCUGCCUCUGCUCAAUAACCAUAGCCAUCUUCCAGGGAACUGUGGGCAUGGGUUGGUGACGCUCAAAAUGUGAGUGACAAGGAGGUGAACAAGGUAGGCCCUCCCCCUACUGGGCUGGUAUUCUGGGAACAACAGACAAGCUAACUGAUGUCUUUAAUGCCACAGUCAGCUUCUCUCUGCUCAAAAUAAAAACCAAAAUCUUUGUCAAGCUCUUCUCCCCCAACAAUUAAGCCCCGAAGCCUUUAGGUGGGCAGAGCAUGGCAGGUAUCUGCCUGGGGGUGGAGUGGGGAAUUGUGGAGACCCAAAGGAGGGUUUGGAACCUGAGCAGGGUGGAGAGUGUCCCCAUGAGUAGGAAUGGAUGAAUGGCCUGGCAUACAGUAUUAGCCCAAGCAGGGUGGAGAGGGUAUACUUAUUUGGAGAUGGGGAGGGCAUCUACAAGGAGUAGAGCAGGCAUGGGGUGUCUGAGUGGGGUGGCCCAGGGCAGGGUCAUGUGGUAAGGAGGGCAUCUGUGCAGGGAUGGAGGUGAUGGAAGAGGGGCUGCAUACAGGCAUUGGUCAAAUAAGUUAAAUGUAUAUGGCAUUGGAUUGGAAUUGGAGGUAUCAGUGUGAACUCAUGGUUUUGGGUUUUUUGUUUUUUGCCUUUUUUGUUUUGUUUUUGUUUUUUGAGGCAGGGUGUCACUCUGUUGCCCAGGCUGGAGUGCAGUGGCACGAUCACAGCUCACCACAACCUCUGCCUCCCAGGCUCAAGCAGUCCUUCUGCCUCAGCCUCCUGAGUAGCCGGGACUAGAGGUAUGCACCACCACACCCAGCUAAUUUUUGUAUUUUUUUGUAGAGAUGGGGUUUCGCCCUGUUGUUCAGACUGGUCUUGAACUCCCAGGCUCAAGCAAUCCUGCCUCCUUCACCUCCCAAAGUGUUAGGAUUACAGGCGUGAGCCACCAUUCCUAGCCCAUGGUCUUCAAUACACUCAUGCAUACAAAUUUUCAAAAGGCUAGGCACAGAGGCUCACACCUGUAAAGCCCGGCAUUUUGGGAGGCCCAGGUGGGUGCAUUGCUUGAGCCUGGGAGUUCAAGACCAGCCUGGACAACAUGGUGAAACCCCAUCCCUACAAAAAAUAUAAAAAUAAGCCAGGCAUGGUGGCAUGCACCUGUAAUCCCAGCUUGUCUUGAGGCUGAGGCUGGGGUAUUGCUGGAGCCUGGGAAGCCAAGGCUGUGGUGAGUCAUGACUGGGCCACUGCACUCCAGCCUGGGUGACAGAGUAAGACCCUGUAGAUGUAGAGGUGUGCCAUAUGUAUAUGUGUUUGCACACAUAUAUCCCUUAGCUUUUUGCCCUGAGAGGGCCUGGGAGCAGCAACAGCCCAAUAGCAAUGAGCACACCUUAUGCCAUGAUCUUGGUUUCUAAAUACCACUCUCUCAUAAAAUAAAUUGGGGGCUGAGUGUGGUGGCUCAUGCCUGUGAUCCAAGCACUUUGGGAGGCUGAGGUGGGCAGAUUGCUUGAGGCCAGGAGUUUGAGACCAGCCUGGCCAACAUGGAGAAACCCUGUCUCUGCAAAAAAUAACAAAAAUUGGCCAGCAGGAUGGCACACACCUGUAGUCUCAGCUUCUUGGGAGGCUGAGGCAGAAGAAUUGCUUAAACCCCAGAAGGCAGAGGUUGCAGUGAGCUGAGAUUGUGCCACUGCACUCGAGCCUGGGCAACAGAGCGAGACUCCAUCUCAAUAAGUAAGUAAAUAAAUAAAUAGGCCAGGCAUGG
rnacentral:lncRNA from 10 species